CUACGGGUGGCACCAGUGAGGAAUAUUGCACAAUGGGGGGAACCCUGAUGCAGCAACGCCGCGUGGAGGAUGACGCAUUUCGGUGUGUAAACUCCUUUUAUAUGUCAAGAAAAUGACGGUAGCAUAUGAAUAAGCACCGGCUAACUCCGUGCCAGCAGCCGCGGUAAUACGGAGGGUGCAAGCGUUAAUCGGAAUUACUGGGCGUAAAGCGCGCGUAGGCGGGUUGGAAAGUCAGGUGUGAAAUCCUACAGCUUAACUGUAGAACUGCACUUGAAACUUCUAAUCUAGAGUAUGGGAGGGGGAGAUGGAAUUAGUGGUGUAGGGGUAAAAUCCGUAGAUAUCACUAGGAAUACCUAAAGCGAAGGCGAUCUCCUGGAACAUUACUGACGCUAAGGCGUGAAAGCGUGGGGAGCAAACAGGAUUAGAUACCCCAGUAGUC
rnacentral:rRNA from 1 species